AACGCACAUUGCGCCCCCUGGUAUUCCGGGGGGCACACCUGUUCGAGCGCCAUUUCUACCCUAGAGCCCUGCUCUGUGAUGGGCCUCGUCCUCGCGGACGGGCCCGAAACCCGUGGGCGCCGUCGUCCGGCCCUGAGCGUAGCAAGAGAAAUCCCUCGCUCGGAGUGUCUGGUGGUGGCUGCCCCGACCUAUUUUUACAAGGUUGGCCUCGGAUCAGGUGGGGAUACCCGCUGAACUUAA
rnacentral:misc_RNA from 1 species